UUGUUGAUAAUUAUUGAUGAAAUUGUUCAUGAAAUUGUUCGUCGUUGGAGGUGAUCUGAUGCAGGGCGUCAUGGAUCCUGACGAUCCGUACAUGGUGUGGUACAGGCGUAUCACAUGACGUUUCAUCAACCCCAGCUACGCACCACCAUCCACACAUUACCAUCCAGCAUAUGACAUCAUUAGCGGAUAUGCGGCGGAUAUGGUGGCGAUGGUUGAUGCAUUGUCAGUCUCCCUUGAAUGCGGACCUACUAGAGCCCAGGUCGAGCAGGUGCGAGAUAUGGGCGUCGCUACCUUACAGAGAUAUGGUCACGCUCAUCUCGUCCACCGGCGGGACGGUCAUGAUGGCCACUCACAGUUCGAGCUCGGCCAGAGCAGCGGUGGAUGUGAUCCUACGUCACCCAGACACGCAGAGGAUUACAACAUCCACAGUAUUGCGCCCUCUGGUACCCAGGAGGACCCCUCGUCCAGCCAGCUGACUCCCCCACCGCCCCGAGACCCAUUCACCACCAUUACUCAUUACAGGCGGCGACGUGUCAGACGGAGGGCUGACACACAGGAGGCAGAACCUUUACCCCGAAUAAAUGAGUCGGGCUAGUAUUAUCUGUUGUAUUGCCUGUUAUUUUGUGGAAUGAUGUACAUAACACUUAUGAAAUUAAUAUGAUAAAUGUUUUUUGAAUGA